GACGAACGCUGGCGGCGUGCUUAACACAUGCAAGUCGAACGGAAAGGCCCUGCUUUUGUGGGGUGCUCGAGUGGCGCACGGGUGUGUAACACGUGAGUAACCUGCCCUUGACUUUGGGAUAACUUCAGGAAACUGGGGCUAAUACCGGAUAGGAGCUCCUGCUGCAUGGUGGGGGUUGGAAAGUUUCGGCGGUUGGGGAUGGACUCGCGGCUUAUCAGCUUGUUGGUGGGGUAGUGGCUUACCAAGGCCUUGACGGGUAGCCGGCCUGAGAGGGUGACCGGCCACAUUGGGACUGAGAUACGGCCCAGACUCCUACGGGAGGCAGCAGUGGGGAAUAUUGCACAAUGGGCGGAAGCCUGAUGCAGCAACGCCGCGUGCGGGAUGACGGCCUUCGGGUUGUAAACCGCUUUCGCCUGUGACGAAGCGUGAGUGACGGUAAUGGGUAAAGAAGCACCGGCUAACUACGUG
rnacentral:rRNA from 1 species